rnacentral:rRNA from 1 species
GAUGAACGCUGGCGGCGUGCCUAAUACAUGCAAGUCGAGCGAACGGACGAGAAGCUUGCUUCUCUGAUGUUAGCGGCGGACGGGUGAGUAACACGUGGAUAACCUACCUAUAAGACUGGGAUAACUUCGGGAAACCGGAGCUAAUACCGGAUAAUAUUUUGAACCGCAUGGUUCAAAAGUGAGAGACGGUCUUGCUGUCACUUAUAGAUGGAUCCGCGCUGCAUUAGCUAGUUGGUAAGGUAACGGCUUACCAAGGCAACGAUGCAUAGCCGACCUGAGAGGGGGAUCGGCCACACGGGAACUGAGACGCGGUCCAGACUCCUACGGGAGGCAGCAGUAGGGAAUCUGCGGCAAUGGGCGAAAGCCUGACGGAGCAACGCCGCGUGAGUGACGAAGGUCUUCGGAUCGUAAAACUCUGUUAUUAGGGGAGAACAUAUGUGUAAGGAAAUGUGCACAUCGUGACGGUACCUAAUCAGAAAGCCACGGCUAACUACGUG